GACGAACGCUGGCGGCGUGCCUAAUACAUGCAAGUAGGACGCAGUUGCGAACGGGUGAGUAACGCGUAGGUAAUUGCCUCUUAGAGGGGGAUAACUAUUGGAAACGAUAGCUAAUACCGCAUACUAGCAGAUGGACCUGCGUUGUAUUAGCUAGUAGGUAGGGUAAUGGCCUACCUAGGCAACGAUACAUAGCCGACCUGAGAGGGUGAUCAGCGACACUGAGACUGAGACACGGCUCAGUCUCCGACGGGAGGCAGCAGUAGGGAAUCUUCGGCGAUGAGGGGAACCCUGACCGGGCAACGCCGCGUGAGUGAAGAAGGUUUUCGAAGCGUAAAGCUCUGUUGUUAAGGAAGCGGUACUUAACCAGAAAGGGACGGCUAACUACGUGCCAGCAGCCGCGGUAAUUC
rnacentral:rRNA from 1 species